rnacentral:rRNA from 1 species
GUCUUUUAAUUGAAGGCUAGUAUGAAUGGUUGGACGAAAAAUAUACUUUCUUAUUUUUAUAUUAAAAAUUUAAUUUUCUAGUCAAAAAUCUGGAAUAAUUUUAAAGGACGAGAAGACCCUAUAGAACUUUAUUAUCAUUACUUAUGAUUUUUAUAGAUUAUUUUAAAGUAAUAAGUUUUUGUUAAUUUUGUUGGGGUGACAAAAAAAAUAUUAUAACUUUUUUUAUUACUUACAUUUAUUAAUGUUAUUUUGAUCCUAUAUUAUGGAUUAUAAGAUUAAGUUACCUUAGGGAUAACAGCGUUAUUUUCUUGGAGAGUACAUAUCGAUAAGGAAGUUUGCGACCUCGAUGUUGGAUUAAAAUUAGUCUCAGGAGCAGAAUAUUGUGGGCUAGGUCUGUUCGACCUUUAAAUUUUUACA